GAGACUGACAAGUUCCCGGGAA
rnacentral:miRNA from 17 species